rnacentral:rRNA from 1 species
CGACCGCCUGGGGAGUACGGCCGCAAGGUUAAAACUCAAAUGAAUUGACGGGGGCCCGCACAAGCGGUGGAGCAUGUGGUUUAAUUCGAUGCAACGCGAAGAACCUUACCUGGUCUUGACAUCCACAGAACCUUGUAGAGAUACGAGGGUGCCUUCGGGAACUGUGAGACAGGUGCUGCAUGGCUGUCGUCAGCUCGUGUUGUGAAAUGUUGGGUUAAGUCCCGCAACGAGCGCAACCCUUAUCCUUUGUUGCCAGCGGUCCGGCCGGGAACUC